GACGAACGCUGGCGGCGUGCUUAACACAUGCAAGUCGAACGGAAAGGCCCUGCUUUUGUGGGGUUAUCGAGUGGCGAACGGGUGAGUAACACGUGAGUAACCUGCUCUUGACUUUGGGAUAACUUCAGGAAACUGGAGCUACUACCGGAUAGGAGCUCCUGCUGCGUGGUGGGGGUUGGAAAGUCUCGGCGGUCGGGGAUGGACUCGCGGCUUAUCAGCUAGUUGGUGGGGUAGUGGCUUACCAAGGCUUUGGCGGGUAGGCGGCAUGAGAGGGUGGCCGGGGACAAUAGGACUAAGGGACGGAGCAGAGUCGAACAGGGGGCAAUGGGGGGAAGUAUGGCCCAGUGAGAGGGAGUGUGUGGCGGAAGCGCCGGGUUUGGAAAGACGUCUUGUGGGUUAUGAACAGCAUUAGCCUGAGACGAAGCUGGUGUGACGGUAAUGAGUGAAGAAGCACCGGCUAACUACGUG
rnacentral:rRNA from 1 species